ensembl:misc_RNA Y_RNA Y RNA
GACUGGUCCAAAGGUCAAGAGUUCUCUCAAUUGGUUGUUCACGGUCAGUUGCAGAUUAAACUCCUUGUUCUACUCUUUCCCCCUUCUCACAACUGGACUUGACUAGUCUUUA